rnacentral:lncRNA from 10 species
CCUGGCUCUCGCCUCGGCCUGCGGCCGGGAUCCUCCGCCCGGGUCGCGCAGCGGAGGCCGAGGGCUGGGACGGGCGGCUGGGAAGUGGGAAAGGGAGCUCCUUUUGUCUUCUCUUCCCAUCCCCCAGGUUUGGGAAAGUUUUCCUUUUGGGAAAGCCCCUCUCUUCAGCCUGCUGGCGGGUGUCGGAUUGGUUAGCGACCACCGGCCCCCGCCUCCCCCAACAGGAUUCUCCUUUGGGCCACAGGUCUUCCGGAAGUUGCCAAACCCCGGUAGCGGCAGCGUCCGGCUGGGGGCUUUAUUAGGGGGCACCGGGGUCUGCUUUCCGACUCCCUUCCGACUCCGCGCCUGCGCAGGAAGCGAUUUGGGGAGUGUUGUGAAUUCCGAGGGCUCCACACUUAAGAGGUUGUACACUCACCUGUCUACCUGGACUCCAAUUUCCAUAUUUCCAGCCACUUGAGGACUGAGAGGUGGAUGAUAAACCCUGUCAUAGUGGAGCAAGUUCAGGUGUUUAACCGCUGUUAUGGGGGAUCUGCCUUUUCUCCCUCUUCUUUCUUACUUCCAUAAGUAUGUAUGUGCAGAGAUUGAAAAAUAACCUUGAGAGAGUCCAUCCAUCUAACUCCAGUUCAUUGGAAAUUUCUGCUUCUUUGAGACUGAGGUUAUAUUCCACUUCUUCUGACUACACCACCACCAUCAAUCUCCUUCUCUGAACUCUUGGAUCAUUACUUCAACCUGAAACAACUCAUCAGGUAUCUAUAAAGGCAGAAUAGUUGCCUACUGCCCCAACCCCACCAAAUGUUCCAGCACCUCUGAUAUUACCUCACAUGGCAAGAGGGCUUUGAAGAUGUGAUUGAGUCAAGGAUCUUGAAUGGGGAGAUUAUCCUGAAUUAUUCAGCUGGACCCAGUGUAAUCACAAAGGUUUUUCAAAGAUGGAAGAGAGGCAGAAGAGCCAGAAAAGGAUAUGUGACAAUGGAGUCAGUGUCAGAGUUGGAGUGACGUGAUGUGAGAAGGAUUCAACCUGCUGUUUCUGGCUUUGAGGAUGAAAGAAGGGGCCAUGAGCCAAGCAAUACAGGUGGCUUCUUUCAAGAAGUUGGAAAAGAAGAGAAAAUAGUGCCAAUAAUUCUUCAUGGAGAUGCACCUCUCUCAAGUCUUGAACAAUGUUUGAGAUUUCCCCAGGCCACCAUCACUGGAUUUGGCUAUUUGACUUGCUGUAGUCAAUGGAAUGUGAGUGAAAAGUGACUCUGUACCAGUGGGGAGGCAAAGCCUUAAAAGACCCAGCAAAUUUCUUCCAGCCCUUUUGUGCUUCUGCCAAAAGAAUACUGUGAGCAAUCAGUGCCCUUAAGCCUGGGCCUCAGAACGAGAGAUAUGGAGCAAACCUGAACCUGAACAGCAGCCUACAAUCAAGCCAGGAUGACCCUGCAAAGCCCAGCCAACGAUAGCAAAGCCACAGCAGACUUGUAGACCAAUGAGCAUGAAAUAAAUUGCAUUGAAAGCUACUGAGAUUGGAGGAAUAAUUUUUAUGCAGGAUUACUGCAGUGAACCUGAUUGAUACAGGAGCUACUGCAAUAAUCCAGGGAAAGAGGGGAUGAUGAGCUGAAGUAAACUAGGAUGGUUGCGAUCGGAUUAGAGUCUGUAUAUACAUUUGAGGACAAGAUUUGAAAGAAUUUGCUGAUGGUUUAGCUAUUAAGUGUGAAAGAGAAAUUUUGAAAUUUUGGUCCAAACAAUGGGAAUGAUUGAGUUGCCAUUUACUGACACGGGGAACAUGAAAGAAGGGGCAGGUUUACUUGAUUCAGGGCAUGCAGAGGAGAGCAGAGUUAAACUUUAUAUAUGUUAAGUUUCAUAUGCGUCUUAUAUUUGGAAGUAGAGGUAUCUUCCUAUAUUUGUAAAAAGAGGUAUCCAGCAAGUAAUUUGACAUUUAAAAAAGAUUUCUGGAGAUCAUUUCUGCUCUGGCUAUAAUGGGAUGACAGAGACUACAUUUACUGUGUACCUCAAACAAAUAGAAAAUUGGACAAAACAAUGUUUUCAGGCAUAAUAAACAAAUUGAACCUUAUUAUUACCUCAGCUUGGCUUGCCACCUAGAGGCAGUUUUCGAGCUUUAAUAGAUGGAGGGUUUAUUAGUCUGUUUUCACGCUGCUAUAAAGAAUGACCUGAAACUGGGUAAUUUAAAAAGGAAAGAGGUUUAAUUGACUCACAGUUCCUCAUGGCUGGGGAGGCCUCAGGAAACUUACAAUCAUGGUGGAAGGUGAAGGGGAAGCAAGGCAUGUCUUUAAGAGGUGGCAGGAGAGAGAGAGAGACAGAGAGAGAGAGAGAGAGACAGAGAGAGCAAAAGUGCAGGGGAAACUGCCGCUUUUAAACCGUCAGAUCUCAUGAGAACUCCCUCACUAUCACAAGAACAGCAUAGGGAAAACUGCCCACAUGAUCCAGUCACCUCCCACCAAGUCCCUUUCUUGACACAUGGGGGAUUACAAUUUGAGAUAAGAUUUAGGUGGGGACACAGAGCCAAACCAUAUCAGAGGGAAACCUCGAACAGAUCCUGGCAGUCUACCUUAGUGGAGGGAUUAGAAAUUAGAGUUCAUGGAGACUAAAGUGGAUAGAGAUUUUGGGUGGGGGGGGGGGGUUGGUGAAGAGAGAGAGAGAGAGAUAAGAGAGAAUAUACCCAGAGAUCACAAAGGGGUCCCUUGAGCCUUGGUAUGUGCAUGUGAGAGAGAAAGAUACCCCUGGCAGGGGUAAGAACUGCUGGGAGGCAAUAAGCCAAAUAAUUCCUGAAGCUCACUUAAGGCUGGGAAGAGUUUGUGUUCCCAUCAGUUAGAGUGGAAAGACCUUAUUACACUGUAUUAUAUAGGGGCAUUGAAUAGAAUCCUCAGAAGAAUACCUCAGUAGUGAAGUUAGUAGUGAGGCUAAAUUAGCCCUGGACUAAAAUAUACUCUGGAUUUCCCUAACAAGCCUCAAAAGAGGUAGACUGCUACUAAGUAACAUAACUGCGUGCUAGAACAAAGCCUAAGACUACUAGAAGGGUUACAACAAAAUCUACCACCCUAUUAAGUGAGGUUUCAAUGUCGCAAAGCAAUAAAACAUUUACCAGACAGUAGAAAGAAUAAGAAACCUAACCCAUAAUCAGAAGAAAAAUGUCAAUAAAUAGAAACAGCACCAGAAAUGACAGAGGUGAUGUAAUGACUAAAAUUGUCUAUUGUAAAUAUGCUUCACAUCAUGAGUAAGGUAUAGGGAAGCAUGAGCAUGAUGAAGAGAGAUAUAGAUAAUAGAAGAAGACAAAUCAAAGUUAUAGAGAUGAAAAAUACAAUAGAUUCUUCAUUUCAUCUCUGAAAUGAAUAGAUUGAACGGGAUCAACAGCUGAUUAGAUACUGCAGAAGAAAAGAUGAGUGAAAUUGAAGGAGCAAUAGAAUCUAUCAAAAAUGAAGCUCAGGGAGAAAAAUGACUAAUAGAAAAAUGAACAGAGCAUCAGUGACCUCAGGAACAAAGUCAGGAGAUCUAAUAUAAUUGGAACCACUGAAGCAAGGUGGAGGAGUGUAAAAAGAGAAGACAUAAUGGCCAAAUGUUUGUCCAACUGUCAUGAAAAGUAUAAACUCAUAGAUCCUAGAAACUCAAAGAAUCCUAAGACGGAAAAGCAUCCUAAGAAAAUCACACCAAUACACAUUGUAAUUGAAUUUUAGAAAACCAGUUUUGAUAAAGAGAAAAAUCAUAAUAGCAGCCAGAGGAAAAAAAAAAGGCACUGUCUCAACAGAAACUUCUCAUCAGAAACUACACAAACUGGAUGACAGUCCUCCAAGUGUUGAAAGAAAAAAAACCUGUCAAUCUAGAAUUCUAUGUCCAGGUUUUUGAUUUUUUAAAAAUAAAGGUGAAUAAACAAUUCUCCAGACAAACAAAAGAGGUAAAAUUCAUUGUCAGCAAACUAAAUAUAAGAAAUAUUAAGGGAAGUUAUUCAGGCAGAAGGAAAAUGAUGCCAGAUGGAAACUUGUGUAUUCACAUAGGAAUAAAAAAUGCCAGAAAUCAUAAAUAUAUGGAUACAUGAAAAAUACUUAAUUUUCUUAGUUUUUAAGUCUCUUUAACAGAUAAUUGACUGCUUAAAGCAAAAUAGAAAUAAUGUACUGUUGGCUUUAUAACAUAUAUAGAAGUAAGGUAUAUGAUAAGGACACUGUAACUUACCAUAGUUGUGUUAAGCAGCUUCUAAGAUGCUCCCCAACAGUCUCUGCAUUCUACUGUUCAACUCUAAUAUAGUCUCAUCCUGCAUGGCAUAGGGCCAAACUCUGUAAAGAAUAGAAUAUGGAGAACUGACAAUGUAUGGAUUUUAAG